rnacentral:rRNA from 1 species
UACAGAGACUGCAAGCGUUAUUCGGAUUCACUGGGCGUAAAGGGUGCGCAGGCGGCCAAGUGUGUUAGGCGUGAAAGCCCGGGGCUUAACCUCGGAAUUGCACCUAAAACUACUUGGCUAGAGCAUUGGAGAGGGUAGCGGAAUUCACGGUGUAGCAGUGAAAUGCGUAGAUAUCGUGAGGAACACCGAUGGCGAAGGCGGGUUGCUGGGCUGAUACUGACGCUGAGGCGCGAAAGCCAGGGGAGCGAACGGG